CAGCCAGAACAUGUCUUUGGAAGAGACGCGACAGCUGAUCGAACAGUCUGAGGGAAAACUUACCUUACUUGUUUUACGUGAUAACAGCCAGUUCUUGGUCAACAUCCCUCAAGUGAGAGACAGCGAUACUGAAAGUUCCCACCUGGACGAUAUAUCUGAUCUUGGUUCAGACAUCUCGCCUCCCCCUCCUGUGGGAAGUACACCCCAUUCUCCUCAAUCUCCAACAAGGGAUUCUCUCCGAUCAAACAGGGACUACAGCAGACAAGAGACAGCAACGGAAGAGUUGACUUCACCACCCGUUCUUAGUAAGUGCCUUGAACUUAGCUUCUCUUGUAAG
rnacentral:lncRNA from 1 species